UACAGAGGUCUCAAGCGUUGUUCGGAUUCAUUGGGCGUAAAGGGCGCGUAGGCGGCGGGGUAAGUCGGGUGUGAAAUCUCAGAGCUCAACUCUGAAAUGGCACUUGAUACUGCUCUGCUAGAGGACUGGAGAGGAGAUUGGAAUUCAUGGUGUAGCAGUGAAAUGCGUAGAGAUCGUAAGGAAGACCAGUGGCGAAGGCGGGUCUCUGGACAGUUCCUGACGCUGAGGCACGAAGGUCAGGGGAGCAAACGGGG
rnacentral:rRNA from 1 species